UAGAUACCUUGGUAGUUCACGCAGUAAACGAUGAAUGUUAGUCGUCGGGAUGCAAGUCAUUUCGGUGAUGCAGUUAACACAUUAAACAUUCCGCCUGGGGAGUACGGUCGCAAGAUUAAAACUCAAAGGAAUAGACGGGGACCCGCACAAGUGGUGGAGCAUGUGGUUUAAUUCGAAGAUACGCGAAGAACCUUACCUAGCCUUGACAUUGAUAGAAUCUUCCAGAGAUGGAGGAGUGCCUUUCGGGGAACUUGAAAACAGGUGCUGCACGGCUGUCGUCAGCUCGUGUCGUGAGAUGUUGGGUUAAGUCCCGCAACGAGCGCAACCCUCGUCAUUAGUUACUAACAGUUCGGCUGAGGACUCUAAUGAGACUGCCUUCGUAAGGAGGAGGAAGGUGAGGACGACGUCAAGUCAUCAUGGCCCUUACGGCUAGGGCGACACACGUGCUACAAUGGUUAGGACAAUGAGAAGCGAUACCGCGAGGUGGAGCAAAUCUAUAAACCUAAUCUCAGUUCGGAUUGUAGUCUGCAACUCGACUACAUGAAGCUGGAAUCACUAGUAAUCGUAGAUCAGCCAUGCUACGGUGAAUACGUUCCCGGGUCUUGUACUCACCGCCCGUCACACCAUGGGAGUUGAUUUCACCCGAAGCGGGGAAGCUAAACUGGCUACCCUCCACGGUGGAAUUAGCGACUGGGGUGAAGUCGUAACAAGGUA
rnacentral:rRNA from 1 species